GGGGAUGACCGGAAUUGACAGCUUGAGCAGAUUCCGUGUAAGCAUGUCGGGAGUUGAUAGGACCUCCUGUUAAAAAUCCUUUCGAACAAUAACUGGCGAAUAUAACUACGCCAUGGCUGCCUAAUCUAGGUAUUACGCAUUAGCCAUUGUCCCGCAAGAGCGCCGUUUUACCGCGCUUGCAUCAGGGGCAUCGAAAUGUAGAACUAGUCUGAAGGAGACUGCGGCUUUCGGGCGAAAUAAAGCAGAUAAGGUAAGUUCAUAGGUUUGAUCCAGCCUGGGCUUAUUCGAAAAUUAACUGGAAACUAAGCAUGUAGAAGGCACGAGGGUUUCCUUGUCUGGACCAGGGUUCGAAUCCCUGCAUCUCCACCA
rnacentral:tmRNA from 1 species